CCAUGCCGCGUGUGUGAAGAAGGCCUUCGGGUUGUAAAGCACUUUCAGUCGUGAGGAAGGUAGUGUAGUUAAUAGCUGCAUUAUUUGACGUUAGCGACAGAAGAAGCACCGGCUAACUCCGUGCCAGCAGCCGCGGUAAUACGGAGGGUGCGAGCGUUAAUCGGAAUUACUGGGCGUAAAGCGCAUGCAGGUGGUUUGUUAAGUCAGAUGUGAAAGCCCGGGGCUCAACCUCGGAAUUGCAUUUGAAACUGGCAGACUAGAGUACUGUAGAGGGGGGUAGAAUUUCAGGUGUAGCGGUGAAAUGCGUAGAGAUCUGAAGGAAUACCGGUGGCGAAGGCGGCCCCCUGGACAGAUACUGACACUCAGAUGCGAAAGCGUGGGGAGCAAACAGGAUUAGAUACCCUGGUAGUCCACGCCGUAAACGAUGUCUACUUGGAGGUUGUGGCCUUGAGCCGUG
rnacentral:rRNA from 1 species